UACGAAGGGGGGCGAGCGUUGUUCGGAAUUACUGGGCGUAAAGCGCGUGUAGGCGGGUCUUUAAGUCAGGGGUGAAAUGCCAAGGCUCAACCUUGGAACUGCCUUUGAUACUGGCAAUCUCGAGUCCGGGAGAGGUGAGUGGAACUGCGAGUGUAGAGGUGAAAUUCGUAGAUAUUCGCAAGAACACCAGUGGCGAAGGCGGCUCACUGGCCCGGUACUGACGCUGAGGUGCGAAAGCGUGGGGAGCAAACAGG
rnacentral:rRNA from 1 species